CUCCUCCCGCACUCACGCCGUCCCCUCUCCUUCCUCUCUUUCUCCUCUGCGCCUGCCUCCCUCCCUCCCCAUCGACCUGCGCCUGCCUCCCUCCCCAUCGGCCCCCUCCCCCCGUCGCUCAUCCUCUUGCGUCACCCGAAGGGGAGCCGCCGCUGCUCGGCCCUCUCCCCCUCGGCGUCGAGCGGCUCAUGGCGGUGCCGGAUCCGGUGUCGGGGUCCAGGGGCACGCAGGAUCGAGGCGUGACAACUCACUGGUGAGCGCGGCGGCCGCCAUGGACGAGCUCAAGCCGGUCAUGUGGGCGCGUUGGUUAGCGCGGCGGCGGCCGUGGCCGAGCUCGAGCCCGGGUGCACCGGCGAGGGUACUAGGGGGAUUUCACCGUGAUCUCCUCCUCGUCAUCGGUCAGUUGUCUUGCAGGUAGUUCGAGAGUGUGACCUCUUGGCCGUGCGGUUUGCUUGCCGUCACCUUGGCCGCCGGCAUGCCGUUGAAGAGUGUAUUGUUCUGGUCCCUUUCCUAGCCCUGUGCUACCUUUGCUGGUUCCUUCCCUGCCCGAUUCUGAUGAUUACCUAGCGGAUAAGUUGUGGCUCUUCGAGGAUAGCUCACAUUGCUUAGUUGCGCAGAGAACUAGGAGAUCUCAUCUAACUAUCUUGGCUGAGCUUGUUCAAUUGACAAGGUAUCUCUCUCAUCCUGUAUUUUUUUCGAUCAUCUUUGAAAGUACAGUGUACCUAACGUCCUAACCAAUGCCAUCCUAUUUGUAUAGGCGGUGGUAACUUCAGAAUUUCAUGAAUGAGAAUAUUGUUUAUAUUGUCAGAAGUUCACAUCAUGUGCCUUCCCUUCAGUUUUCACAUGAAACUAAUUUUUCUCCCAUGUUUAGAAUUUAUACAUAAGUGUUGACCGACUCUUCAUGUUCAUUGCCUACUUUGACAUUAUUUUUUUAAGAAUGUCUUUUAAUGGUGUUUGAUCAAUCUUAUCAGUUAACCACACUACAUGUUCUGCAUUCUUGCUUUGUUUGCUGGCUAUGUUUCUUGGCUGGGUUGGUGUGCAGGAUAAUAUGGGUGAAUUAACAAUCAAAAAUGAAAAACGGUGCAGGGCUAGGGGCUAGACAGUGGUGAAUUAACACACUAUUAGUGACAAAGUAAAAAGAAACUGGUUCCGAGCAUUCGGGUUGCAGGUUCUGAGGUGUGAUCGUUGAGGUGGGGUAGCAAAUAUAGUUAGCAGUAUUGUAUCCUAACCUGGAGAACAUCCAUUUACUAAUUUUGGGUCCGGAGUUCUGUUAGUGAAUUAGAAAAUAGUGAGCCCCUGCUCUGAGGCCAAGGUACGCCAAUGAUCGUCCAAGGUACGCCAAUGAUCAAAAGAACACCUGAAUGAAAAAAAGUUCUUCGAUUUGCAGCGAACUUUCAGUAGAUAUCGUCUCUAUUUCUUUUACAUGUGGAUAUUGUUGUUUCAAAGCAAAUUUCACCGUUAAGUUUUACCAGGUUUUGUUACCUAUAAUCUGUUUUUUAUCAGGUUCUUUUUUUUGGUUUUAUCAGGUUUUGUUACCUAUAAUCUGUUUUUAUCAGUUUUUCUUGCUUAUUCUCUCUAAUCAGAAAAGGAGCCUGAAAAUCUGCAUUUACAUUUGCAGAUACGGCAGGAAAGUACAGCUUAUCCAGAGACACCAAUUGGGAGAGGUACAACAUAUGCAUUUCAAAGAGAACUGGACUCUGCUAAUUUUGAUUUCACCAAGGUUGAAAUUUUAAAUUCAGAACUUCAGUGAUGCUUACUGUUCUCUUUCCUUGACAAUGUUUGCACAAUAUAUAUAUUGUAGAGACAGUAAAUAUUUGUGCCUUGUGAGAAUAGGUCUGCUGUCAAGUGACAUCAUGCAACAUAGAUUUAGAACGAAGAUUAAGAUAUGUUUCUGUACAGCGACUACUGGAUCGAUAGUACAAAAUAAAUAGCUUGAAUGGAUUUAGCAUUUAGAACAAAAUAAGAUACGGAAAUUCUAAAGCUACCCUUCUUGUGAUCGACUAAUAAAUCCAUGUAAUAUUUUGAGAAAGAGUUAAAUCCGUAUAUGUUGUUUGAGUGCCUUUUAAUUAAGAUACUGGACUAUGUUGGUACACAUAUAUUUGGAUGCUUGUGAUUGGCUGGAAAGAACAGAAACUUAGAUUUGUUGUUGGACUAAACUGAGACUGAGUAGUCAUAGCCUUUUGGCUGAUGCAUCCUUCAGUAUACCAAAACACUUGCUAUUUUUCAUGUUCUUGUACGCGAUGGGUUUAGGACACAAACAAUUAUUUGUUUUAUCUACAAAAAACUUUUGCUUCAAGAUUACAAUGUGUUGAAUGCCUUUCGUGCUUAGUUAAAGUAUAAGUAUUGCUUAUAUGUGAUUUCAGUUCAGCUUGACCAAUUUUCUUUGCUCUGCUUUUUCCCUCCCUCUCCACUGAAUAUGACCAUGUUCAAAAUAAAAUGCGCAUUAACACUUAUGAGAGUAACCAUAUUUUAUUUUUGUUGGGACUCUUCUCUCUAGGUUUGCGUUGAUCCCACUCUCUUGCAUUUUUGCUUUCACAAUUACUAGGACUCCAGUAAUAACCACAUUAUGAAAUGGGCGAUAAUCAGCGACGCUAUUUACAUCAGUGAUGACGAAGGUAAGCGCCGCCAUAAACGCCAACGUGCCAAAAAGACAAGGGGUCGAGCUCCAUGUAGCGAACCAUGUCUUUGUGAGAGGACCUUAACAAGAGAUUGUUCUUCGCAAGUUAGACUGAACUCUUACGCAUAGGACCAAUAUGGUGCGAACUAUGGGGCAAACCAUCGCUCACUAUCCACAAGCGCAUGUUCAUGUGACGUGCCAUGUGAGAAGUCGAACGUGAAGACAAUCAAGUGAAGUUAUCCAAUAGUAUGCUUUAGUUGAACUGUAUAGGUCCGCUCUGGCUUGAUUUUGUUGUCUAACUCUACUCUGUGUAUCUAACUUAAUGUGAAUUGAUCGUCCUGCCUUAGUUUUGGAACAAAGAAAUGUUUCCCUUUUAUUAUGAGCCUCCAGAUCAUUUGUUGUACUGAUUAAAUAUUUCCUACUCACCUUGCUUUUGGUAUACCCAACAUUGUUCUUGAUUUACUUUUGGAACACAAUAUAUGUUUCCCCUUAUUCA